AUUCUACUCCAUCUGUUGCACAAUACAUGCCUUCUAUUUGUCAAAAUAUAUAUGUAUCUAGACAUGUUUUAGUAUAUAGGUACAUCCAUUUUUGGACAAAUGGAAGUCAAGUAUUUUGGAACGGAGGGAGUACAGA
rnacentral:pre_miRNA from 1 species